CGAGAGCCCCAAAAUUUGUGUUUUUCACCCCAAAAUGUGGGGUAGGAGGAAGAGAAUCGGCUGCGGGAGGAGCUGCGCCAGGAGUGGGAGGCAAAGCAGGAGAAGAUCAAAAACGAGGAGAUCGAGAUCACCUUCAGUUACUGGGACGGAUCCGGGCAUCGCAGAACUGUUAAGGUG